rnacentral:rRNA from 1 species
GAUGAACGCCAGCUACAGGCUUAACACAUGCAAGUCGAGGGGCAGCAUGAACUUAGCUUGCUAAGUUUGAUGGCGACCGGCGCACGGGUGCGUAACGCGUAUCCAACCUUCCCGUUACUCAGGUAUAGCCUUGCGAAAGUAAGAUUAAUCCCUGAUGAUAUAUGUUUACUGCAUGGUGAAUAUAUUAAAGAUUUAUCGGUAACGGAUGGGGAUGCGUUCCAUUAGGUAGUUGGUGAGGUAACGGCUCACCAAGCCGACGAUCGGUAGCCGGACUGAGAGGUUGAACGGCCACAUUGGGACUGAGACACGGCCCAAACUCCUACGGGAGGCAGCAGUGGGGAAUUUUGGACAAUGGGGGGAACCCUGACCCAGCAACGCCGCGUGAAGGAAGAAGGCCUUCGGGUUGUAAACUUCUUUUACCAGGGACGAAGAACGUGACGGUACCUGGAGAAAAAGCAACGGCUAACUACGUG